rnacentral:lncRNA from 1 species
UUUUAUUUUUAUCGAGGACCUUGAAUUUCAAUAUUGUUGAAAGAUGGACAGACAUGUAUAAACUACAACCAGGGACUUUCUAUACUAGUAUAUACUUAGUAUAGAAAGUCCCUGCUACAACGAAUGGGAGUGUUUAACUAAGUCACUAAGGCAUUAACCAUAUUGUUCUAGUAUGAUCGGGAGAUGUUAAAAAAUGAUCCAACAGCUGAUUCAGCCGCUAACGAAUUUCCGAUAUCAUAAAAGAAUCACAAUACAAAGUGAAUUUCCUCUGCUUAAUUGAGCCCCUAAAUAAAUGUGAAUAGUUAGGUUUUAUUCAAAAUUGUCGAAAGCAAAGUUUCAUAUGUGUUCUUGUUUGAAUACUGAAUAACAGACAGACGGCCACACGAAAAAAUAAAAAUAAAACAAAUACAGAAACGGUUCACUAUCAAUCAAAAAUCCAGACAAUGACAGAUAUAUCAUGUAUCAUGAUAACACUGUUAAAACUGUAAACUUGUGUUGUUUAUGAUAUAAAUUCAAGUUCUUCUUGUACAUAUUGUCAAUAUUUCAUUUUAUUACUUUAAAAAAAAUGAAGCAGAAAAUUCAGGGGAGGCAGUUGCCUCCCCUGCCUCAUAGGUAGUUACGGCC